ACAACCAAUGCCAAUGCAGCAAUGCGACUUGCCUCACCUGUAGGGUGUGGUGGAAUGCAGAUUUAUAGCGUGGGGUGAGGAGCCUCUUGGAGCCAGAGACGCGACGCGAGUCGCAGGUCUUGUCCAAGAAUCCCCACCCAUCACAAUCAACCACAACAAUCACCGGUCUCAAAUCAGGCAGGACUACCCGCUGAACUUAA
rnacentral:misc_RNA from 1 species